CCAUGACCUUUGGAAGGGAUAUGUGGAAUAACCUGCACGGGCUCUUUCUGUCCUCUAAACAUCAGUAAAUGAAGUGAAUGCAAGUCUGUGAUACCAUAGUGUACUAGAGUUGACCUAAUUUUGACUAUGGCAUCGUUUCAUGGGGAGUGGCUCAAAACAGGAAGAGAGGACCUUGUGUCUGCCUCCGAGCAGAACUCUUUGAAUUCUUCAAGAUGUUCCACCGAGAGGGUGAUCAGCAAUGUUCCUCAGUACGUGGAGAAAGGGCUGGUGUCAGGGAAUGUUACCCCGCCAUCACAGCCUAGGGAGAACAAUCUCAACCCUGGUCCAAGCACACCUGUAAAUGUCACCUCCACCAAUCACAGCAAAAGCCAAAGGGCAGAGAAGUAUGAGGUCAUCGAUGAUAACUUCCUGUCCAUUGAUCAUGAGGGCUGUAGCACCAAAGGGAAUGAUGAUGAUAAUGAUGUAGGACCCUCCAGUUCCAACACUCCCCCCAGCAGCCAUGAGUACCUACUCCAUCUCAAACAGCAGGCCGGUUCCCAUCUCAGGGCCCAGAAGGAACGCCAUGUCAAAGAUCUCUCUCUGAAAAAGGACAAACUCCAGCAUCUUCUCCUAAAACUUGACACUAUGAAGGGCCCCCUGGGGCAAGACACUAGAUGGCAAUACAGCAGCGAGCGAGACGAGCCAAUGGGUGAGCCUGGAGAGGAUGACAGGGCUCAUGCAAAUCCUGGGGACAGACAGAGAGAGGCAGCAGGUGAGAGGACAGCCAACAACCACAUGGAGGAUAGACCUGUGCAUAUGUCACCCAAUCACAGAGAGAGCAUGAGCCCAGAGGAUGAAGAUGCCUGUGACCAUUACCUGCACAGGGGGAAUAAGAUGAUCCACAGCUGUUGGCGCAGAAUCUUCCAGUCCUUCAGCUUCCCCUUCACCCUGGCUACUGCCUUCAUCAUAGAGCUGCUCAGCUUCAUCACACAGUAUGUCAUCAAGGUGUUGAUGGUGGGACUAGUCGUAGUGCUAGGGGAACAGGUGAUCACACCUCUGUUCGGGGCACUGUUUAGCCACACCCUCCAGCCCAUGGCCAGGUGUUUCCUCAACGUCUCAUGGGCUGUCAGGGCCAUUCUCCACUCCCUAUUGGCCAUUGUUAGGGAAGUCUUUAUGCACGUAGCGCUACUCGUUCAAUCGUUCAGGCUCGUGGAAGUCAACAUGGCUGCUGCUGAGCCUCAUGGCAGACAGGACGUGUGA
rnacentral:lncRNA from 1 species